rnacentral:lncRNA from 1 species
UGAAGAAGCAUUAAAGAAAUUAAAAUUUUAUGCCUGUGUAAUUGACUUAGGAAGACAAUUGAGUUCUUCAUUGUACACAUUUUUUCAAUACUUUGUUCAUGUUGGAGGCCGUUUUAAAGAAUGUUUUUGUUAGAAAUUUUGACAAUUUUCUUGCUCCCUUUAGAAUUUUACUUUAAGAGUUUUACCCUUUAGAAUCUAAGGAGUCAUAUAAAGGGGACACUAAAAGUUAUAUUAAAACUUCAAACUUUUAAACUUAUAAAGAUUGAUUGAUU